CUUUACUGUAACUUGAAAUUGAAAUUGGACUUUAUUUGCGCAGUAUAGGUGGGAGGCCUUGAGAAUAUUCUUGCGGGAAUAUUGGAGCCAUCAGUGAGAUACCACUCUUGUAAUGUUAGAUUUCUAACUUUGCAUCCUUAUCGGGUCAAAGAACAGUUUCAGGCGGGCAGUUUGACUGGGGCGGUCGCCUCCCAAACGGUAACGGAGGCGUACAAAGGUUUCCUCUGAACGGGUAGAAAUCGUAUCUAGAGUGUAAAGGCAUAAGGAAGCUUGACUGUGAGACCUACAAGUCGAGCAGGGACGAAAGUCGGUCUUAGUGAUCUGACGGUGCUGAGUGGAAAGGCCGUCACUCAACGGAUAAAAGUUA
rnacentral:rRNA from 1 species